GUUGGCGGACGGGUGAGGAAUACAUGGGAAUCUGCCCAAUCGUGGGGGAUAACGUAGGGAAACUUACGCUAAUACCGCAUACGACCUUAGGGUGAAAGCGGCGGACCGCAAGGCGUCGCGCGAUUGGAUGAGCCCAUGUCGGAUUAGCUAGUUGGCGGGGUAAAGGCCCACCAAGGCGACGAUCCGUAGCUGGUCUGAGAGGAUGAUCAGCCACACUGGAACUGAGACACGGUCCAGACUCCUACGGGAGGCAGCAGUGGGGAAUAUUGGACAAUGGGCGCAAGCCUGAUCCAGCCAUGCCGCGUGAGUGAAGAAGGCCUUCGGGUUGUAAAGCUCUUUUGUCCGGAAAGAAAAGCUUUCGGUUAAUACCCGGAAGUCCUGACGGUACCGGAAGAAUAAGCA
rnacentral:rRNA from 1 species